ensembl:lncRNA
GAAGAAUGAGAUGACAGCAAAUCACCCUCUCCGGCUCAGUCUGGCGCAGUGAUGUCAGGCCAAGAGAGACACUCAGACAUGAAGUGAAACCGAGCACAGGCGCGAGAUCUAAUAAAAAAUGCUCUUCGGGCAGAACAUCAAGAAACGGCGACGAGCUUCAGGAGUCAUGCUGAAAUCUGUGACAGAAGUAACGAUUCACAAACGAAAAACAACAACUGAGGAGCGCAUGAUAAAUGAAACACAAGUACAAGCUCGUUUCGAACCGGGAGCUGUCAACACAAUGACUCGCAAUGCUGCACCUCCAUCUGAGCCUCUGCCAGGAGUUUGAACACAGUCAGCGAUAUGAAAGCUAAUAUUGAUUCCACUUCACAGUUAUAAAUCCUUAUUCCAUGAAGGUUCGGCAUUGACGGCGUCACUUUAUCACAGAGAGACGGUUUGUAGAGAAGGAAUAUGAUUUAAUUUUACCGCGUGGGGUUAUAAAUACAUUGACUAUAAAGAAAUGAUGACACUUUAAUGAGCCACAAACUGAGGCAUUUAAACAGAAUGUGUAAUUAAAGCGGCUAAUCCAAAAAAGAAACAUGAGGAAUCAUUUGCAAAGCCGAUUAAAUAUACUUUAAAUUUUCAUUUAACUCAGGCACUUAUUAAAACAAGCUAAGCAUUCACAUUAUUUACAGUAGUGAUGAGUAAUAACAUGCAGCAUGAGGCAGAUAUUCGUCUGUUUCUGGGGAGGCUAUUAACAUUGAGUUGUCUUGUUUGUCUUUGCGUGAGUAGGGUAGAGUUAUUAACUGAUCCACAGCCAUCUGGGCUCUUCCAGGUGUUCCUCCAGCUGCUGAGACUGAUGGGAGGGCUUCGCAUCACUUCCUGUAUGGGUCAUCCUCCCGCAUUAUCUACCAGAAUCCACAGGUCAAAGAUGGAAACGAAACUGUCUUUGUGAGUGCGCGGCUUCCAGAAGAAGCCAUCAGUCUGGCCUUUAUGGCUGGAAUAAGAGUAUCAGGAAUUGUGUCCAAGAAAAUGAAAGGAAGACAUUGCAGGCCCUGUCCUCUGAAGCUCUCUUCCCUGUUCCUGUUCCCAUCGCUGUCACUAAUUAGCCAGAGCCGGCAGCUGGGAGCGAUAGGAAAUGGCACAGGCUGAAAAUGACAUGGAUCAAGAACACCACCGCCUAAUAAUAAGCAGCACUCCACCAGCGACGCCACAGUCCACCAGAACGGAAGAAUAGAGUCGGCUGGCCAAACGAGAGACGCUGAGCUCCACACUGAGCCCAGAGCUAAUACCUACCAUGAUGAAGGGAGAUUGUUUCCCAAAGCCAAACCUUCCCGUGGCUUAAAGUUGAGGAAUGUCUUUUAAUUAAAGAUGAGGCGAGGAGUUAUUAAAUAAUAGAUUAUUCCUAACUGAAAAGAUGAAAUUAUACUGUUCAUUCUCUAAAUCAAAUAAAAUCUCUUUAUUUUAUAGGGUUUGGGUUUGC